UGUGGGUCCCCUACCAUAGGGUUGGUCACAUGACCUGAGCUAACCCAAGUACCCCAUCCCCCAAACUAGGUUCCAGGGAUGGGAACAGGAUCCAAACAAGACCAUGGUAUAGUUUGUCUGGGAUUGGAACAGUCACUAGGUAUAUUAGUUUCCUAGGACUGAUGUAAUAUAUCACACAAACUGGUUGGCGUCCUGUUGAACACAAACAAGAGAAAUGUAUUCUCUCACAGUUCUGGAGGCCAGAAAUCCAAAAUCAAUGUGUUGGUAGGGUCACUCUCCCUCCAAAGUCUCUGGAGGAAGGAUCCUUCCACGCAUUUUCCUGGUUUCUGGAAGUUGCUGGCAAUCCUUGGCGUUCCUAGGCUCAUAGCUGCAUCACUUUAGUCUCUGCCUCUGCCUUCACAUGGGCUGUCUUCCCCCUGUCUGUGUCUUCCCAUGGUGCUCUCUGUGUGGGUCCCCAGUCACAAUGGAUUAGGGCCUAUUCUACUCUACUGUGACCUCAUCUAAACUUAUAUCUUAAUUAGAUCUGCAAAGACCCUCUUUCCAAAGAAGGUUACAUCACAGGUACCAGGGGUAGGCUGGAGUGCAAUGGUGCCAUCUCGGCUCACCGCAACCUCUGCCUCCUGGGUUCAAGUGAUUCUCCUGCCUCAGCCUCCUGCGUAGCUGGGAUUACAGGCAUGUGCCACCAAACCCAGGUAAUUUUUUCUAUUUUCAGUAGAGAUGGGGUUUCACCACGUUGGUCAGGCUGGUCUCGAACUCCCGACCUCAGGUGAUCAACCUGCCUCAGCCUCCCAAAGUGCUGGGAUUACAGGCGUGAGCCACCGCACCUGGCCUAGGGGUACCUUUAAUAAAUCUUUUUGGGGGUGCAAUUCAGCCCUCAAGACCAGGUGAGAGAGUCCCUCCCAGUAUGAUUGCAAGCUCAAACCCAUGGAUCCAAAUCAGGAUACCACCUUAAAUUUAACAUAAUGCCCUUAAAAAUGAAAAAGGUCAGAACCAAGCUCUAUCCACAGAAUCAAAUCAAAAUUUCACUUUGGCAUCCUUCUUUUGCUCACCCUUCACCCUGUUCCCCACCCGUUGUAUGUGCACUCAGCUAGCUCUAUGUUUCCUCUGUACAUCCUUCCUGCUUGAAUUUGAUAGUCUCAAUUUUUCAGUCAAGUUAGUUCUUAACAAUUUUGAGGUCAUGGGACCACUCUGAGAAUCUAAUAGAAGCUAUGGAGUCUCUGAGAACACUGCACAGAUAAAAACAAUUUAGCAUCCAAUUUCAGAGCAGUCAGAUACUAAUCCACUUCCCUCCUCCCCAAGGGCCUCUAAGUAUAGAACCACCUUGCACAGUUUGGCUUCCCCAGGCAUUGAUUCUGCAAUAAAAUCAUCACAACUCACUAUCAAUCCCUCUUCCAAGGCAAUUUCUCCAGAUCCUGCACAUUGUGCAGUGCUCCAUACUCUGGGUCUUGGCCAACCUUAGCUGUCCAGCCACUGCCUCGGGCUGAAGCUGAGAAGGGCUGGCUGGGCAGAGCUCUUCCACUGGGCCCUGAAGGCAGCUGGACUCCCUCUCCAGCCAACUUGGCUGUGAGCAUAGAACCCCCACAAAUUCUGCUUGACCCAACACCUCUUCUGAGCCCACUUUCUCCAGGGGUGGGUAGAAAUAUCUCAGAAUGUUAAAACUUCUCAGUCCGCAAGCCAUGUUAUCAUCUGGAUUUCAACAAAGAAAAGUGACUCCAGCAUGCAGAGUGGGAUCAACUUGCUCUACCAACUCUGGAUCUUCUGUCAUCUGGAAAUGACGGGGAUCUUGUACUCACGGGCAAUGCCUGCCUACUAUUAUCUUUGGAAUCAGCAUGUGAGGCCCCCUACAGUGCCUCAUCCAUCUGACUCAUGCCGAAGAUGGUCCAGGCGUCACCUGAGCUAUGCUACCUUUGGUAAAGACCCAUGCAGGCUUCUCUUUGCCCUGGAGUCACACUUUCUCCCCUAUUGACACCCCAGCCAGGAUCACACCAAUACCUCCAACAUCAAUCAGAAGUCAACAAGAAUGGAAAACAGACUAAAGUAACUUCUAUGGACAGGGCUGGGUCUAUUCUUACCUUCUGCAAAUGGUUCCCACUCAUAAAACCGGCCCAUGAAUGGCUUGUUGUUGUAGGAUGCACACUGUACCUCCCGGAUACUUCUACUGCUUUCUGGACAUACCUAAUAAAGCAGAUAUUAAAUAUGCAAUUAGUGUCCAUACUUUUCAUAGCUCCAGGAUACAUUUCCAAACCCUGGAUACCUUUCCAACUUUAUUUAUUUUUUAUUUUUAUUCUUUAUUUAUUUAUUU
rnacentral:lncRNA from 10 species